rnacentral:misc_RNA from 1 species
GUAUUUAUUAUAUUAUAAGAUAUUUCAGACAAAUAACAUUUAGACAUGUUUAAACGUAAUAAAAUUGGCAGGCCGAGGAGACCAAUAUGUGUCAACCCACAGCUCUCCAAAAGAAAAGCUCAACCUGCCAACAAACACUUCAAUGAUUCACACAGGGUGGAUAUGGAUAAAUUAUCCAUUAUUGUGGACAAUUGUUAAUGAUCCUUCCGCAGGUUCACCUACGGAAA